rnacentral:rRNA from 1 species
AUUGAACGCUGGCGGCAUGCCUUACACAUGCAAGUCGAACGGCAGCACGGGAGCAAUCCUGGUGGCGAGGUGGCGAACGGGUGAGUAAUAUAUCGGAACGUGCCCAGUCGUGGGGGAUAACGUAGCGAAAGCUACGCUAAUACCGCAUACGAUCUACGGAUGAAAGCGGGGGAUCGCAAGACCUCGCGCGAUUGGAGCGGCCGAUAUCAGAUUAGGUAGUUGGUGAGGUAAAGGCUCACCAAGCCGACGAUCUGUAGCUGGUCUGAGAGGACGACCAGCCACACUGGGACUGAGACACGGCCCAGACUCCUACGGGAGGCAGCAGUGGGAAUUUUGGACAAUGGGCGCAAGCCUGAUCCAGCAAUGCCGCGUGCAGGAUGAAGGCCUUCGGGUUGUAAACUGCUUUUGUACGGAACGAAACGGUGAGCUCUAAUACAGUUUGCUAAUGACGGUACCGUAAGAAUAAGCACCGGCUAACUACGUG